UCUGGGUUGGGAUGAGUGGCGAACGGGUGAGUAACACGUGAGUAACCUGCCCCCUUCUUUGGGAUAACGGUCGGAAACGGCUGCUAAUACCGGGUAUUCACUGUCCUUCGCAUGGGGGGUGGUGGAAAGGUUUUUUCUGGUGGGGGAUGGGCUCGCGGCCUAUCAGCUUGUUGGUGGGGUGAUGGCAUACCAAGGCUUUGACGGGUAACCGGCCUGAGAGGGUGACCGGUCACAUUGGGACUGAGAUACGGCCCAG
rnacentral:rRNA from 1 species